CCUACGGGAGGCAGCAGUCGAGAAUCAUUCACAAUGGGGGAAACCCUGAUGGUGCGACGCCGCGUGGGGGAAUGAAGGUCUUCGGAUUGUAAACCCCUGUCAUGUGGGAGCAAAUUAAAAAGAUAGUACCACAAGAGGAAGAGACGGCUAACUCUGUGCCAGCAGCCGCGGUAAUACAGAGGUCUCAAGCGUUGUUCGAAAUCACUGGGCGUAAAGCGUGCGUAGGCUGUUUCGUAAGUCGUGUGUGAAAGGCGCGGGCUCAACCCGCGGACGGCACAUGAUACUGCGAGACUAGAGUAAGGGAGGGGGAACCGGAAUUCUCGGUGUAGCAGUGAAAUGCGUAGAUAUCGAGAGGAACACUCGUGGCGAAGGCGGGUUCCUGGACAUUAACUGACGCUGAGGCACGAAGGCCAGGGGAGCGAAAGGGAUUAGAUACCCUUGUAGUC
rnacentral:rRNA from 1 species